UACGUAGGGUCCCAAACGUUGCUCGGAAUUAUUGGGCGUAAAGGGUACGCAGGCGGCUGUGCAAGUCUGAGGUGAAAUUCCGAGGCUCAACCUCGGGGCUGCCUUGGAUACUGCACGGCUAGAGUUGUAAUAGGGGUGGCAGGAAUUCCUGGUGUAGGAGUGAAAUCUGUAGAUAUCAGGAGGAACACCAAUAGCGUAGGCAAGCCACUGGGUAACGACUGACGCUCAGGUACGAGAGCUAGGGGAGCAAAUGGGAUUAGAUACCCCAGUAGU
rnacentral:rRNA from 1 species